UUACGGUCACAUCACGUUGAAACACCGAUUCGACAUAUGAUCACCAAAAUUAAGAAACAUCGAGCUUGGUCAGUACUUAGAUGGGUGACCGCUUGGGAAUACCAGGUGCCGUAUG